rnacentral:rRNA from 1 species
GACGAACGCUGGCGGCGUGCUUAACACAUGCAAGUCGAACGGAAAGGCCCUGCUUUUGUGGGGUGCUCGAGUGGCGAACGGGUGAGUAACACGUGAGUAACCUGCCCUUGACUGUGGGAUAAGUUAAGGAAACUGGGGCUAAUACCGGAUAGGAGCUCCUGAUGCAUGGUGGGGGUUGGAAAGUUUCGGCGGUUGGGGAUGGACUCGCGGCGGAUCAGCUUGUUGGUGGGGUAGUGGCUUACCAAGGCUUUGACGGGUAGCCGGCCUGAGAGGGUGACCGGCCACAUUGGGACUGAGAUACGUCCCAGACUCCUACGGGAGGCAGCAGUGGGGAAUAUUGCACAAUGGGCGGAAGCCUGAUGCAGCAACGCCGCGUGCGGGAUGACGGCCUUCGGGUUGUAACCCGCUUUCGCCUGUGACGAAGCGUGAGUGACGGUAAUGGGUAAAUAAGCACCGGCUAACUACGUG